rnacentral:rRNA from 1 species
GACGAACGCUGGCGGCGUGCUUAACACAUGCAAGUCGAACGGUGAAGCGCCUUCCUUUUUGGUGAGUGUGGAUGAGUGGCGAACAGGUGAGUAACACGUGAGUAACCUGCCCCCUUCUUCUGGAUAACCGCAUGAAAGUGUGGCUAAUACGGGAUAUUCUGGGUCUGUCGCAUGAUGGGUCUGGGAAAGAUAUUGUUUCGGUGGGGGAUGGGCUCGCGGCCUAUCAGCUUGUUGGUGGGGUGAUGGCCUACCAAGGCGGUGACGGGUAGCCGGCCUGAGAGGGUGGACGGUCACACUGGGACUGAGACACGGCCCAGACUCCUACGGGAGGCAGCAGUGGGGAAUAUUGCACAAUGGGCGCAAGCCUGAUGCAGCGACGCCGCGUGAGGGAUGGAGGCCUGCGGGUUGUGAACCUCUUUCGCCAGUGAAGCAGGCCUGCCUCGUUUGUGGGUGGGUUGACGGUAGCUGGAUAAGAAGCGCCGGCUAACUACGUG